rnacentral:misc_RNA from 1 species
UAGUGAGGCCUCCUGACUGGCGCCGAUACUCUGGCAACAGAGCGCCGGAUGCCGGAAAGUUGGUCAAACUUGAUCAUUUAGAGGAAGUAAAAGUCGUAACAAGGUUUCCGUAGGUGAACCUGCGGAAGGAUCAUUACCGAUACCGUCCAAGAAAAAAACAACUCUCCGUUGUUUUUUUGCCCUGUGAACUGUACCCAAUCGUUUAGGGGUCGGCCUGGCCGUUAAAUGGCGAGCGGACGCGAGGCAAUGCUCGCGGCCGGCCUCGCCAGCCCCGCCUGUGUUUUUCUUUUAACGUACGUGUCUACGGUCUGAUGUUGCGGCCUGACGAGGGCCGAGAGUUGGAAAUGCGAGAGACAACUUUUGACGGUGGAUCUCUUGGCUCACGCAUCGAUGAAGAACGCAGCCAGCUGCGAUAAGUAGUGUGAAUUGCAGAAUUCAGUGAAUCAUCGAAUCUUUGAACGCAAAUGGCGCUCUUGGGUUCUCCCAGGAGCAUGUCUGUCUGAGUGUCGGAUAUCAUCCAUCGCAAGCACGGUGCGCCCGCCCGUGCUCGCGGCGUUGAGGCGUCACGGCCGCCGCACAGUGUCGGCCGUGUCCCUUGAAAGGCAGAGAGACUCGCCGCGGUCCGUGGGUAUCUUGAUUCCCGCGGCGCACCAGCGGAGGCCAAAAGUGUUGGCAGUCCUUCGCGCGCCGUCGGGGCCCCGCCGCGCGAGUCGUCCAGGCGAGAAAUCUAUCUUCUUGACCUCAGAUCAGGCAAGGCUACCCGCUGAAUUUAAGCAUA